AUUACCCUGGGUCGCAAGUGAUCUUUGUCUCGGUGCUAACCUGACAAGUUUUCUUUCCUUAGGAGAACGUCACUGUCUUUUGUGUGCAUGCCUGUUUUUCAGGAAGCCUGAGAGAGGCAUAUGGGCUCCGACCUGGUUAUCCAGGUUCUGAACCGCAGACAGACACGGCGUACCCGGGGUUUUC
rnacentral:other from 1 species